UCAUCAUGUCUUACGAGCACUGACACGCAUGUCUAUGGGACCUUCCACUACACUACGGCAUCUUCUGUGUGCAAGAGCGCUCUUCAUGAUUUGCGGAUAUCGUCUUGGAAUACUUCGGUACAAACGGUAACCUUCGAAGCGUCUCAUGAAAAGAGAUACGACUUCGAAGCCUCGACACGAUAUCGUGUUACUUCAGAAAAUUUAUUCGGAGAAGCUGAAUAUUUUCAAUUCUUGUCCCCAAAAA